GGGCCGAGUGCUUUCAGCAUUCCUCUCCCCAUCCGGCAAAAGCUCUGCAGCAGCCUGGACGCCCCCCAGACCCGAGGCCACGACUGGAGGAUGCUGGCCCACAAGCUCAACCUGGACAGGUACUUGAAUUACUUCGCCACCAAAUCCAGCCCGACUGGCGUCAUCCUGGACCUCUGGGAGGCACAGAACUUCCCAGAUGGAAACCUGAGCAUGCUGGCGACCGUCUUGGAGGAAAUGGGAAGACAUGAAACGGUGGUGUCUUUAGCAGCAGAAGGCCAGUACUGACCCCUCUGGAACUGAGGACACACGCAUGCAGGGGACUCACAGCUGAGGAUGAGUCCGGACCAGACCAAUGAGCUUCACGAGCAAGAUCACAGCAGGAGACAGAAGGCAAACAGCUGCGACCUUCCCCCCACCCCAUGCCCUUGGAGUUGAGCAAAAUUGUGUAAAUUUGUACCUUGAAUUUAGAUCCCAA